GAUGAACGCUGGCGGCGUGCUUAACACAUGCAAGUCGAACGAAGCACUUUAUUUGAUUUCCUUCGGGACUGAUUAUUUUGUGACUGAGUGGCGGACGGGUGAGUAACGCGUGGGUAACCUGCCUUGUACAGGGGGAUAACAGUUGGAAACGGCUGCUAAUACCGCAUAAGCGCACAGCAUCGCAUGAUGCAGUGUGAAAAACUCCGGUGGUAUAAGAUGGACCCGCGUUGGAUUAGCUAGUGGGUGAGGUAACGGCCCACCAAGGCGACGAUCCAUAGCCGAGCUGAGAGGGUGACCGGACACAUUGGGACUGAGACACGGCCCAAACUCCUACGGGAGGCAGCAGUGGGGAAUAUUGCACAAUGGGCGAAAGCCUGAUGCAGCGACGCCGCGUGAGCGAAGAAGUAUUUCGGUAUGUAAAGCUCUAUCAGCAGGGAAGAUAAUGACGGUACCUGACUAAGAAGCACCGGCUAAAUACGUG
rnacentral:rRNA from 1 species